UAAUCUGCGUUCAAGGUCAAGAAUCAAUGCAGACCAGGCUAAGUACAAAGAAAAACUGCUUUCGGCCCCAGCUGACUGUGAAAAAAUAUAGACAUAGUCAAACCAAAGGCAAUACAAGUUAAAGUGCUGAGAUUACAUUUGCAAAGCUUAACUGUCCAAUGAGAUCCAACAGUCUGCCUUUGCGACCCUGGAGCCGGCGUGGUUUGGGGACGCUGAAGAAGCCACAGGUAGCCGGCCUGGACUGGAAUCACUGAAAAGACGCCCCAGGAGACCUCAGGGUGUAAAAGAACUGCCCUCCCAAGAGAGGAAGCAAGUUGGAGAUUGCACAGCACCUUCUCUGAACGUUAUACACAGACGUGGCCAGUCUGGACGUACGUGUGUGAGUAUGAAAGUGUGUCUACUCUCAGCCGCAGUAAGUCUGAGAACCGGAGAGGGAUUUAGCAUUCCUCUUUCCACCCCGGCUGACCGGGAAGGGUGUCAGGUGGAUCUACCCCAGUCGUAGCAGGACUGGGCAACAGAGAAGUUGGAGAAAAGGGAAGAGUUGUGUACUUGAUAACUAGAAUUGAGCAAUUAAGAGCAUAGAUCAUGAACCAGGCAGCAACUCAAACCUACGCCCAGGGCAAGUUGCAAGCCUUGAGACAGGACUUCCAGGCAGAAAAGGAAGCACUGGCUAAGCAAGUACCGGUCCUUCAGGGACUUGUCAGAAUUUAACCAUUUGUGUUUGCAUAUGCUGUAAGAGCAGUGUGUUUGCCACAAGAGAAAAUUGAAUAGUUAAAUGCCAAUGGGCAAUGCGUUUUGCCCAAGUGGCAAGCCUCACGGGGGAGGACUUGGGUAGCCUUGUGAGUAAGAAUGUUUAAGAGAAGAGACCAGGAAGGGUGGGGGCUAGUUGAGAAGCCCACCCUCCUAGCUAAAUUGGUAGUGAAAAAAGCUGGUGCCCAUGGAAGGGACGGUUCAGCGAGAAAAGCAGGAUCGGGCCCAAGCGGGCAGGCAAUAGAUAGAGAGAUUGGAGAACAGGUUGGAAACUUUGAGGACAUAGUGGAAGGAAAGGAGUAAGUAAUUAUAAGCAUGGGGAUUUCAAAUCCCCAGGAUAAUAAUUGAAAUGGUAAAAUGUGUGUAAGACAGAGUCUUUGUACCAAGGUGCAAGGCUCUCCUUUCUUCUGCAGAAUAAAGCAACUCUUCCUUAUCCCUGUCUGGCUGUUAUUGGCUCUCAGCUAGGUGGACCCGAUAUUUUGGUGACAGUUAAUGGCGACUCCGGUUAAUGAAUUUCUGUCUUAUACAUUUAGGUGUUAGGUGUGUGGAUGGAACUGAGCCUCUCAUUCGUAAUUCCUCAGAGUGGAAGCCAUCGCGUGCAAUGAAGCUCUGAGGUUGAAUUGGGAUCCUUCUGUCCCGUCCCCUGUAGCGGUCAGUAUUAGUAGAAAUUCCUGUAAUAGGAUCCUAUUAGGCCAUAAUUCCCUCUGUUCUCUGUGUAAUUCUCUGUUAGAGUGUCAGCAGGCAGAUGGGUGGGUCUCUGGUAAAACUCUCUAAGGAUAGCCCUUUGGAUUAUAUGUUAAGUAAAUGGCCUUUACCCGGUGUUCAGGAAAGAAUAAAGAUUUGAAUUUGUUUUUGGGUAACAAAAUAGCAGAUAAAAGAUCUGGUAAAAAGAGAGAGAAGGACAGUGCCCCUGGCUCUGUGUGGUCGAACUGUCACUUUACUAGGGGUGCAUGGAGAUUUUGUAAGCACAAAAGAAACAGUUACACCUUGUGUAGAAAUUGAUGUGGCUAGUGUUGUGGAAAUUGAAUUGUGGAUAGGAUGUGCAUUUUCCCCAGAACAUGUGCAGUGUAUAUUGUAGCAGAGGUAAAAGAAAUGCAAACCUACCAAUAUAGGUUGUGUCGUCUCUUUCAGAUCACUGGGUGUUUGAAAGCAGGAGUUAGAAGUAAAAGGCAAUCAAAAGUCUGGGAAAGUUAAUUGUGACUUUUUACAUAAGAAUUUUUAAGCUGUGGAUAGCUUUGGAUCUGAAAGCAAGCCAGAAAGCAUCUGUAUUAAUGCAAUUUUCUAACUAAUAAGGUAGAAGCCACUGAAACCUGGGCUGCCUAUGAAACAAAUACAAGGAAAUAUGGGGUAAUUCCUCUGUUUUGUCUAAAAUCAACAAGAGUAUGUGUGUAUAUAAAGGAAAUAUUUUAAGCAAUGACUGACUACCCAGAAGGGGUAGACCUCUGUUCUUUUGUCUUUCAGAUCAUCAGAGAAAACGGAUGCCAGCUGAACAGCAUUCAAUGUACCAUGCAUUUACUGGUUAAAAGAAGCCAAGAAGGGGAGAAGGAAAAAGAACAGAACGAGUUAACUGAGGAAAAAUAGCUAGCAAGCUCAGUCCAAAGAUAAGAUGCUGGCACCAUCCAAGGAUACUACCCACAGCUAAGACUUGGCUGACAGCCAAGAAAAGGGGGGCCUGAAUGUGCCCAAGCAACUAUGAGAUCUGCAAAACACUGCCAGGCAUUAAUGAAAUGUGUUAGGUUUCUUUUCUCACAGAUAAAAGAAGUGCUACCCAAAGACCCUAGCAGCCCUGCCAUUCAUUGAAACAAGGAGACUGAGUCUACGUAAAGUCCAUCAACGAAAGACUGCUUUGGCUCCACACUGGAAAGGCCCUUUCCAAGUCCUGUUAACCACCACCACCACUGUGAAGUGCCAAGGACUACCUGCCUGGACCCAUGCUUCUCACUGUAAAAAGACCCCUCCACCUCGGGAGGACUCUCCGACUGAUGAUAAGCCUAUUUCUCCUUCUAGCUCUGCUGUGUCUUCUGGACAGCAGGAAAAAGAAAGAAAGAAAAAAAAAAGACAAGGUGAAGUGCUAGUAACCUCUCCCUUGUCCACUGACAGACCUACUGUGCCUCUGGAUUUUUCUAGAAGAAGCAAAACCAUUACAGGGUGAUGUGCUAGUAACCUCUCCCCUGUAUGAUGCUAAACCACACUGUUUCAGGAAAAGAGAAGAAGGAACACUUGCUUCAUUGAAACCACAAAGUCCAGGGAUUCCUGACUACAAGAGACAUUAAGAACUGACCCUGGUGAAGAAACAAAGAAUUAUACACUGGCAGGAAGAAACUUGUGGGACCCAUGCUUGGGAAUGUGGUAUAGUACUACACCAAAAA